rnacentral:rRNA from 1 species
UACGUAGGGUGCGAGCGUUAAUCGGAAUUACUGGGCGUAAAGCGUGCGCAGGCGGUUCGUUGUGUCGGCGGUGAAAGCCCGGGCUUAACCUGGGAAUGGCCGUUGAAACUGGCGAACUGGAGUGUGGCAGAGGGGGGUGGAAUUCCGCGUGUAGCAGUGAAAUGCGUAGAGAUGCGGAGGAACACCGAUGGCGAAGGCAGGUCUCUGGGCCACUACUGACGCUGAGAAGCGAAAGCAUGGGGAGCGAACAGG